rnacentral:rRNA from 1 species
UACGAAGGGGGCUAGCGUUGCUCGGAAUUACUGGGCGUAAAGGGCGCGUAGGCGGUCUUGCAAGUCCUGUGUGAAAUCCCUCGGCUCAACUGAGGAACUGCACAGGAAACUGCUUGGCUUGAGUUCGGGAGAGGGAAGCGGAAUUCCGGGUGUAGCGGUGAAAUGCGCAGAUAUCGGGAAGAACACCUGUGGCGAAGGCGGCUCUCUGGGACGGUACUGACGCUGAGACGCGAAAGCGUGGGGAGCAAACAGG